rnacentral:tRNA from 2 species
GGCGCAAUUGGUAGCGCAACGGUCUCCAAAACCGUAGGUUGCAGGUUCGAGUCCUGUC